AGCCACUUGUGACUAAGGCAUCCACAUGUCUUUGGCCAGGCUGCACAUGGGUGAACUAGUGAGAUCACAGGAAUGGAAAAGUGGAGUCUUGAAAUAUGCCUUGCUCCAGAAAGGGAACCAUGAAACCAUUUUUGUGAGUGAAAAAUCACAGACCUCACCUGCAAAUUCUGUGUGCAGAAGACUUUAAAACCAUUCCAGUGGCUACAGAAUGAAUCACAAUACUGCAGAUCUCAGCCUGACUGCCAACUGCAGAUCACCCUCUGUCCCAAUGGACUUCAGUGAAGAGCAACUGAGCCCAGCAUGAGACAAAAACCACGACUUUGCAGGAUCAAGCCCAUCACAGGAUGCAAGAAGCAAGUUGUCCCUCUGACACGUGUAUGGGGAUGACGUACCAACAGAUCAGCACAACAAACUGGCGCUUGGAAUAUUCACAAAAGCAACAUUUCAGAGGCAGUAAUAAUAAUAAUAAUAAAAAUAAUAAAUAAUGAAAAUAUAAACCUGGGUAUGGUUUCUCUUAGAUGCAAAU